GCGGAAUCUUGCGCAAUGGGCGAAAGCCUGACGCAGCCAUGCCGCGUGAAUGAUGAAGGUCUUAGGAUUGUAAAAUUCUUUCAGCAGGGACGAUAAUGACGGUACCUGCAGAAGAAGCCCCGGUAACUUCGUG
rnacentral:rRNA from 1 species